CCCUAGAUCGAAGCUGCUCUAUAUAAUGAGGAGGAAGAACAAGGGGGCGAAGCAAAGAGAGAAGAGGAUCGAUCGGAUCUGGAUCCUCCUCCUCUCCUUUCUCCUCCUCCCCUCAUCUCUGAAAUCAUCAGAUUUGCUGAGUUUUUGGUGUUAAGGAAGUCUCAUCUCUCUCUCUUUUUGCGUUUGUUUUGCGUGAACGGUAUGUGGGCUGACAGAAGAGAGUGAGCACACAGCGGUGAUUGCAUCGAUCUGAUGCCGUUCCUGUUGCGUGCUCAUUUCUCUUUCUGUCAGCUCACCCUAUCUCUUUCUCUCCCACAACAGCACAGCACCGAACACUUGUAGCAUGCUCUAAAGUAGGUUGAAAACAAGUGUCGAUUAGAGAGGAGAGAGGUUGGUGGGCGGUGGACUUCUGGUCUCUCUCUGGAGAGAUGCCACGAGUGUCUCAUCUGGCCCGGAUAACCAUGGCGAAAGGACGGAUUUCCAAGGUGAAGGGGAAGUACUCGGUACAUGAACUAUUAGGGCAUGUUUAUGCAGGUGCAGAAAGAAGUGGAUCUUAGCAGAAACAUUCGGAUCUGUGUUCUAUCAUAGGGCGGAAGAAGAUGGUGAAUCAGAGCUCUGACACGAAUUUGCGGUCGAGAGGGACGGCAGGCAGAUGUCCCUUCUCUUGGAGGCCCUUGGUUCGAGAACUUGUAUGGCAUUUUCCGGGGAUUCAUCUCGUCGAUCCGAUCAAGCCCUCUCGGUAGAGCACCCUGUCGGUGCAGAUAAAGCGCUUCCCGGCGGCGCUUUCCGCCUCGUUGACCGGUGUGUGCGCAUCGGCAACAUCCAGCACGUCGACGUACCCUUGCACCGCAUUCACUGACGUCUUCACCGACCCGUCGAGUGUGGAAGACGCCCUGACAACAAUCAAAAGCAGCACGAAGAGCGUCGAAGUCGAGAAGGUCGGCCGCUUACGCUCAGCCUCUUUUGCGCCUUUCAUCGCUUUGAGUAUAAACCUUCUCCAAGAACAGAUUCACCAACCAGCAGGCGUUGAAGCCUCCGGCGCCCGUGAGACAAACAGUUCGGCCGUUGGUGCCAUUUGCAGCUGGUGCGACAUCACCAACAACCAUGUUGAUGGUGACGAGGUGAAGAUUAGAAGUGCAUGAUGCCAAGAAAGGGAGAUUCAUAAAAGAAGAAUAAACCACAGAUAAAU